GCGCCUAUAGCUCAGUGGAUAGAGCACUGGUCUUCGGAAUCAGGUGUCGGGGGUUCGACUCCCUCUAGGCGCG
rnacentral:tRNA from 1 species